rnacentral:rRNA from 1 species
AUGGCCGUGGACCUCAUGGGCUGCUACACCCCUCGCCGCGCCGACGACCAGCUCGCCAUCCAGGAGGCCGCCACCGCCGGCCUCCGCAGCCUGGAGCUCCUGGUCUCCUCCCUCUCCGGCGCGGCGCCGUCCAAGGCGCCCCAGCAGCACCCGCAGCAGCCGUUCGGCGAGAUCGCCGACCAGGCCGUCUCCAAGUUCCGCAAGGUGAUCUCCAUCCUCGACCGCACCGGUCACGCCCGCUUCCGCCGCGGCCCCGUCCAGUCGGCGCCGCCGCCGCCGCCUCCUCCAGCACCGGUCGCUCCACCUCCUCCCCCACCUUUGACCGUCGUGGCGCCGGUGUCGGUGGCCGCCCCGCUCCCGCAGCCGCAGAGCCUGACGCUGGACUUCACCAAGCCGAACCUGACCAUGUCGGGCGCGACGUCCGUGACAUCCACGUCCUUCUUCUCUUCGGUGACCGCCGGCGAGGGCAGCGUGUCCAAGGGCCGGAGCCUGGUCUCCGCCGGCAAGCCGCCGCUGUCCGGGCACAAGAGAAAGCCCUGCGCCGGCGCGCACUCCGAGGCCAACACCACCGGCAGCCGAUGCCACUGCUCCAAGAGAAGGAAGAACCGCGUGAAGACGACGGUGAGGGUGCCGGCGGUGAGCGCGAAGAUCGCCGACAUCCCGCCGGACGAGUACUCGUGGAGGAAGUACGGCCAGAAGCCCAUCAAGGGAUCCCCUUACCCACGGGGCUACUACAAGUGCAGCACAGUGCGAGGGUGCCCUGCCCGGAAGCACGUGGAGCGCGCCCUGGACGACCCGGCGAUGCUGGUGGUGACUUACGAGGGCGAGCACCGCCACUCGCCGGGGCCGAUGCCGAUGCAGAUGGCGCCGUCGCCGAUGCCAAUGCCGAUGGGCGCUCCCGUAGCCGUAGCUAGUGUGUCCGCCGGCAACGGGCACGUCUGA